rnacentral:rRNA from 1 species
UACGUAGGGUGCGAGCGUUAAUCGGAAUUACUGGGCGUAAAGCGUGCGCAGGCGGUUUUGUAAGCCAGAUGUGAAAUCCCCGGGCUUAACCUGGGAAUGGCAUUUGGGACUGCAAGGCUUGAGUGCGGCAGAGGAGACUGGAAUUCCUGGUGUAGCAGUGAAAUGCGUAGAUAAUCAGGAGGAAUACCGAUGGCGAAGGCAGGUCUCUGGGCUGACACUGACGCUCAUGCACGAAAGCGUGGGGAGCAAACAGG